GGCUGAGUGAGAAAGAGGGUGACGAAAAGGAUGAAGACAGAGAGGGUGUCAGGAUGAGGAGGUGAGAGGAAAAAAAGGAGAGAGGAAACAGGAUUUGGGUUUGGAGAAAUGCAAUUGAAUGAUCGAGAGCAUGCUGCAAAGUGUUUUGAAAAAUUGGAGAUUAAAGGCAUGAAAAGCAGAGCGAAAUAUAGGCGAGGAAAAGAGAGAAAUGGGGAAAGAGAACAAGAGCUGGAGACAGGGUAUAGGAUCUGUGUCGAGUCAAUGUGAUAGACAUCUCCAUCAAGCAGUGGGAGCUUGAGUCUAAAUUAAAAAGAGUUCUUCACUGGUUUUUCGAUUCACAAAAGCAAGAGGAGGAAACAUUUGUUUAAGCCGAACAGGCAGACAAAAAGAGUAUGCCUUUCUCCUAAAAUCCAUAGUAACGCUUUCUUUUACGGUACACUUAUUACCAGGUAAUUAACAGGUAAUUACCAAGUAACAACAUGAAAUUAUCUGCUAAUUAAAUUAUAACUACUAAGUCAAUACUGUCUAGCUACCAGGUAGGUAACCUUCCAGCAUCAUACAAACUUAAUUGUUCUGGUAUUUCCAGGAUUUUCUCCGCUUCCUGGAACCACCACUUGCGCAGUAGCAUUGUACGCAUUUGGCGGUUGAGUCGCUGUGAUAAUGCUCGGCUCAAACAGCGUAUCACUACGCAAUCUUCGCACGCCCAUAGGCUGUAUCAAUUGUUAAUCAUAGAAAAUAAGAACCCCAAAGAGCUUUUGAAAAUGGAGCUGCACAGAAAAAAAGAAAAAAAAAGAAAAACUAGACAGUAUUGACUUAGUAGUUAUCAUGUAAUUACCAGAUAAUUUCAUGCUGUUACUAGGUAAUUACCUGUUAAUUACCUGGUAAUAAGUGUACUGUAAAAGAAAGGGUAACCAAAUCCAUGGCUUAACCAAGGAGACCCACCUGAAAAGAUAUCAAAAUGAGAUAUCUAUAAGCAUUUUAUUUUGGAAGGGACAAAUUACAUGGUACCUUUUGUCUUUCAGUUAUUACAAAGUUUUGCAGUUUUUGUUUAAAAAUGUAUAUCAGGUGCACAUUACUUAGUCAAAUAUGGCUAAAUUAGCUAAAAGCUGAAAGAAGAAAGAGGAAGAGAUCUAAGGACUCAAAAGUUUGGAUCACUCUGGUCUUUUGCUGAGAAGAGCAAAAAGAUCAAGACUGAAACAGUCUACAACCGUGUGCACGUGUGAGUUGGGGGGGGGGGCAGAUUGAUGAAAAGAGAGGUAGAGAAAGAGAGAGAGAGAUCACAGAGAGAGUGUGUACUCGCUCCCUGCUAUAUAGCUCUGGGCCAUGUACACAGCAGAAAGUCACGACCCCAAAGUACAGUACAUGGUCUGAAUUUUAAUGACUUUUUGACUGAGAUAGAGCUUUUGUGAGCAUGCAUGUGUGUACCUAAGUCUGUGCUUGGCCCUCAGGUAAAGUGUGUGAAAGUGUGUGUGUGUAGGUCUUUCUGGCUGUCUCUCUGUCUGUGUAGAGGUGGGGGUCGAGGGGGUGGGUGUUUGCGUAUGGGGAACUGUACUCCUCUGGGAGCUGAACCUGGAAAGAUAGGAUGCUGAAUUGCAACUAUGACACACUACCUUGAUAUAUACACACACACACACACACAUGCACAGACCGUCAUGCACAGACCAUCAGGAGCCUGCAGGAGUAGGACAGGACAAGGUGACUACAUGUUGAGUGGAACAAAGCUUCGCAUCUUUGAACUUGCUCUGAUAAAUAUAGCUAUGGUAGACGACAAAAUCAUCAUAAAAGAAGAUUUCAUAGACAGACUUUUUAUGUUUCAAACCUGACAGCCAUCCUCAAGGAGAGCUCAGAGGUUAAAAAAGAAACACUAGAGCUCUGAAGCUGUUGCACAAUUUAGCUGUAAAAAAAAAGCUGUAUUUAAAUCAGCGCUACGAUAAUCGGCAAACAAACCAAGAAAAAGUGAUUGAACUAAAAAAUAUGUAAGUCAAACAUUUAUUUUAGGUAUUUAAAGUCUAAUGUUGAAAGCAUAGACUGGACAUAGAAUGGACGCCGUCUGUCUCCUCGCUGGGUGAAGCCACCCUGAGAACAGCACCCUCUGGUGACGGGCUGCAGUAUAGGUCAUAAAUCCCACCUCCACCAAAAUCCCUAUGGAGCUGUGGACAAAGAAUACAUAUUUUUCUCCCCCUUGGUUGUGAUGUUGACAUGUAGUUACUGUAAGACUGGUUUGUGCUCAAGUCCUCUUUUUUCUGUGCAGCUCCGUUUUUAAAAGUUAUUUGGGGUUUCAUGUUUUUAUAUGAUUGACACUUGAUACAGCCUAUGGGCGUACGAAGAUUGCGUAGCUCUCCCGGGGGGAUACGCUGUUUGAGCUGAGUGUCAUCACAGCGACUCCCCCGCCGAAUGCGUACAAUGCUACUGUGCAAGUGGUGGAGUGCGUACAACGCUACUGCGUAAUGUUUGUUUUAUAGGAAAAAAAGGGAAAUACUGAGAGCUUUUUGGCUUCAAAUCCAUAUCCUGGCGGAACCAAGUUGUCCAUACAGUCUACGGUUGAUACUCUGUCUCACAGUGUAGUGCACAUCAGACAGCAACAAUGUGAACUUUAAAGUAAAUUAGACUGCUAUUACAGGCUCCAGCUCUCCUUAUCCUCAUCUAAGUACCAAUACUUAAGUUUACAAGUGUAAGUCUCCUCAUGAGAUGACUUUUUGUUUUUCUACUUGUGUCCAAAAGCAAUCAAAAGGGUUUUACAGAACAUUAUACAAAUGCAUAGUCAUUAUAUCCUGGUUUAGUUUCAGAUGACACAUUAUGUCCUUUUCUUUGUGUUUUCAUUUUAGCUUGGUAAGAGAGAUUAUGUUAUUAUUAUCCUAUGAGUAUACGUCUGUGGUUUUAAAAAGCUUCCUCAUUGAUUUCUGCUCUUUUUCCUUUAUCCAUCACCCAUUCAUUUUACUUAUCUAAAUGUGUAUGUGUCUGUUAUUAUGUGCUGUCUGUACUGGCCUGUUUUUGCCCAGUGUACGUGUUCUAUAUGUCAAAGCUGCAAUAAUGUGCUGCAGUGAUUUAAAGAUGCUGUUAUGGUCGACAUUUGAACAUUUUAUGUCUCUGCAACAGUUUAUAAUAAUGUGAUUUUUAGCACACAGACGCAGUGAGAAGAAGACCAUGCAGUCUCUCAUUUUACAGUCUAAGUGACAUGUAAUAGGAGUUUAAAGAGAGCAGUUCUCCGACUGCCUGAUGGCUGCUCUGAAUGCUAAUCCCUUUAAACUGAAUCAUUAUGAUCAAUAAUCCUUUCAGGGAACUGAAUAACCCUUGAUGCAUACAAUAUAGGUAUAAAAAUGUAUAUUUUGAAUUUUAAUCUGUUCAACUCCGUGUGACUCAUACAUCUAACACAAGCAGCUUUUUACAACCAGAUGAGGGAAUCUGUCAAAAAGCUCUGGGUGUUUUAUCAAUAGUACUUAUUGUGAUAAGUCCAUUUAGUUUCUUCUCAUCAAUAAAAAUGUGAUGGGCUUUUCUAUUGUAACAUGCUGGUGUAUCGCUCAGUGGCUACAACAUCAACAACAUCUUCAUGCUGAUUUCACCUGUUAAAGAUCCACUCUGAUGGACCACUGCCCAAACUCUCUUCUUUGUUUGUACAUAUGUUUGACUCAUGUAUGCUUGCAGGGGAAUGGGGUUAUCUUGGGUCACCUGAUAUUAAAAAGGUCAUACAAGGUCACAGAGGGCAUUGAAGUUCAACUUAAACCUUCACUUUUUGCCAUUUUAGAGGUGCUGUUUCUUGCACUGUUUUCUAAAAAACCUCAGAAAUGCACUUAACUGAAAUUUAAGAGGACCCCUCAGCUUUUAAUCAAUAGCUGGAGACACUGUCAGUGUGGGGAUCAAUGAUGACACAUUUUUGGUGUGCCUUUCUAAGUCCACCCUUAGGUAUUUGAUGGUGCAGAAAGGGCAUAUAAUAGAAUUUUUUUUACUGUUUAAGGAACACACAAUGGUGGUAUACAUCUCAAAUAGUAUUAAAAAGAAACGACAGAGAAAUUCUUAUCAAUAUAUGAGCUGAAAAACACUGUGGCAGCCCUCUGAAGCCUGAUAGGAAAAGGAAGAAAUGGCUUACACUGAUACAACCUGUUAUAGUCCCACUUAUUUUUUAAGGCAUAAAAAAAAUCAUACCAGGUUGGAAAUAUGGAGAAAGAAAACCAAGCAGAUAAUGCACCUGGAAAUAACUCCAGUUAUUUUUUCUCUCUCUCUUUUCUCCCCUGUGAAGAAGUAGGUUGACUCCCUCUCAGAGAAAACUGCAUGCAGUAUAUCAAAUGAUGACUCAGUCAUCAGAAAUAUCUCACUGUCUUUCAGUGUUCAGGGAAGCAUGAGCACAAACAGUAAGUGUGUGUUACUGAGCAUGAAGUUGUAUAUUGCACCAAAACACCAAAAGCAAUCAAACAUUUCCUGUAUUAGCAUGGGGUCUGCCAGGUGCCCUUGGGUGUUCUUGUGUAUAUGCAGUUGUGUGUGUGUGUGCUUUUUGUUUAUAUUUGGGUCAACCCACAUCACACUUCCUGUGUGCUAGAAUUCACAGUCUGGCACUUCUGCAUGCAUGUGUGUGGUAGUGUGUGUGUGCAAAGGGUUAAAACUAUGUCAAACAGUGUGCUUUGUCUCUGUCUAUUUCCUUUAUGUUCAAGGACAUUAUUUUCUCUGUUUCCCAGCUCCCUUGUCCCGAUCAUUAACUCACAUUUAUAGAUAGUGUUUUUUCUUCAAUGCUCACUCCUCUCUCUUCCUCUGAACUCCAUAACUUUUCUACUUCAUCUCCUCCUUUCUCUUCCUCACAUCGCUCUCUUUACAGCCCUUUUCUAUCAUCCUUUACGUUCUCCUGUUUAAAUCUGUGUGUGUGUGUUUGUGUGUUCAUGUGUGUAUGUUGCCUUGUCUCUCUCUUCCUCUGGAUUACUGCUGCAGACAUUCUGCUGCUAUAGACACUCCCUUAAUCAGUCUCUCCUCUGUCCAUCUCUCUCUUUCUGCACCUCCCUCAAUCCCCUCUCUAAACCAUGUACAGUCUCAGUCAGCAGAUGACUGUCUAACGUGUGUCUGGCUCUGCAGGUUUCUGCCUGUUAAAGGAAGUUCAUCCUCUCCACUGUAACUUGUUAAAUGCUGCAGUGUUUCAUUCAUGUGGGUGAAGAUGGGAUGGGAGUGGGUCUGAUCUGAUCUGAGAUGGGGCUAGAUCUUAUCAUUGGGUCUUAAUGCAUAGUCUAAACCAGCUUUUUUCUUGAUGAGCAUUUUGGGUUAACACAUGAUGUGAAUUGGCACUACAUAAAUAAAUAUUGAUUAAUUGACUGAUUGAAAAAAAAACAUUAAAAGACCUAUUUUUUUGUUAUUUUAAUCUUCCCUACAUCAGGUCCUUUUCAGUUUUGCUCCCCUUAUGUUCCUCUAGAGCCUAUGCUGUGUAGGGGGAGAGGAAUAGAAGGGUGGCAAUCAUCUAUUGAGAGUAAAUGAAGUGUGAUCAUUUCAUCACAGUUACAGACUGCACACGUGUAAUGCAGAGUUCAAUUAUCCAAUAAAAGGUGGGAUGUGCUGGGGUUUGAAUUAAAAAUAUCUUGAUUAUUGUCGUCUUCAAACAGUCUUUAAAUAGAGGCUUCAACUCAUGUUAACAACCUAAAGGGUGGUAAUUAAACAUAAUUGAGUUAAUGUAGGCUCUGCAUCAGUCUGUUAAGAAGUCACAUGGGUAAUAAAAAACAGAACUGAAUUUCAGAUAAAAAUUAUAAGCAGGGAGUCAAUAAAAAACUACCUGUAUGUUUGGCACGUAUUAUGUCAAAACGAAUUUAAAUGGCCAACUUCUGUUUCUACAUUAAGCUUGUUACUACUGGGUCUUUUCCAGCUGACAUGUUAUGUAUUAAAACGCAUUAGUAAAAGACCAACAGUUUGUCAUUUUUACAGCUGUGUGCAAUUUGUCCUGAUUUAACAUGUUUUCUUCGUUGUAGAAACAAAUCUGUUCUUUUCAACCAUCACCUCAGAGUGUGGCAUGUGAACACUGGAGUCUGCGCAGAACAUAUGGGACAGUUUCAGUUCGAUUGAGCCAUAAACAUGAAAGAGAAAAUCCAUCUUCAGCUGCGUUACCCAGGUAUAUUAGUGUGAUUUGAGAAGAUCGGUUAAGUGCGAUUUCAGUCUGACUAAUGUAAGUCCAGUUUCAGUUUUUUUUAAAUUAUUAUUGGCUCUUUAGUUUCUAAUAUUUGUUAUUUAGACAGAGACUACACAUUUAUAAAAGACCUUGAAGAAUUUGGUGUUACAGCUUUACAGAUGUCGACAAAAUGACAUUUUCUCAUCUUGGUAUAUGAAGGUUUCACAGAGACAGGUGGUUUCAACAUUGUUUAGACACAGUGUCUUCUAGUCGACGGGAGAAGCACCGAGCCAGAAGGUCUUUUCAUUGUUGUCCUAUAAAUCUGGAUGCCAGCUGUUCCUCCAGCAACACUGCAGUGGUGCCAGCUGUUCCUCUGCUCUCUCUCUGAACCCUGAUGCCAUGAGAUGGUGCUAUAAGUCCAACUUUAAAGCAAAUAUUUGUUUUGCAUCAGGAGUUAAAGCUUGAAUUAAAUAUGGAAGAGGCAAUGUGUUAGAGCACACAGACAAAAUCUAACAUGCCACUAUUUUAACCUUUGGAAUUUAGGAUGCAACAACUGUGGACUUGAUGAAACACAGUGGACCAACACCAGCAAAUGACAUGGCACCCCAAACUUCACAAUGAUCUUCAAACACUUUGGAUUCUGGGCCUCUUCGAUCUCCCUCCAGACUCUGGGAUCUUGACUUCCAAAUGAGAUGCAACAAUUACUUUCAUCUGAAAACAGGACUUUGGACCACUGAGCAGCAGUCCUAUUCUUUUUCUUCUUAGCCCAGGUGAGACUCUUGUGACUUAGUCUGUGGUCCAUUUCCUGAACCUGUCUAUGUGUAGUGGUUCUUGAUGCUCUGACUGAAGCCUUAGUCUACUUCUGAUGAAGCUCCACUUAAAUUCUCAAACCUGAUGUGUUUGUCAGUCCUCUCAAGACCGUCCUCAUAUUCCUUCAUCACCUUUUCCUCCCACACUUUCCCCUUCCAGUCAACUCUCCAUUAAUAUGCUUCCUUACAGCACAAUGCCUUUUCAGCCAUGACCUUUUGCAGCUUAAUCUAUGAAUUGUAAACCAUAAUCUUCAAGAUUCAAAAAGUGAAAACUGUGAUUUGUGCACAAGAGAAAAUCCCCCCACCACCACAUACACAAUAUCAGUUUUGUCAUUGUUCUAUAGGGAACCAUUCAUUUUCAUGUCAAACAUUCAAAGCAAGCAGAAUGUUCAAGUUUUGGCAGGGGAUAAGUAGAUGUGUCAUAAAAGUGAAGGGAAACAGGAGUGUGGGAGUAGAUACCAGAAUGUACAGUAUGUUAGUCCUAAAUAUGUCAGAUCUUUAAAAAUGAAUGCUCUAUGUGCAUGAUUUAGGCUGAGAGAAAUACACAGAUCUUUCUUUUUACUUUUCCUAAACUAAAUGGAUUUAAAUUUACUUAAACUUUGACUUCUGACUGAAGAGUUUAAGGAGGAAACAUGGCAUACAGUCAAAACUUCUCCAGAUGGAAAAGCAAAUGUCAGAAUCUUUUUUUUCAUUUCCAAAUCUUUCAUUGGAGCGAUAUUGAAUUUUCUAGUGUUUUGAACAAACCCCAAUUACAAGGAAGCGAAUGAAAACAGAAUACAACUGGCAAAUCUUUUCCCACCUGUAUUCUACUGGAUACACUACAAAGACGGGAUAUUUAAUGUUCAAACUGAUUAACUUAUGCAGGUUGUGUUAUAUUUAUAUAUAUAUUAAUUUAUGGUGUAUCAAAUAAUGCAAUGAAAUAUUGCUUUAACAUAGCAGCGAUGUUCUUGAAUCUAUUGCAUGACCCACAAUUUUUCUCUCUUCAUCUAUUCACUUCAAAUCCAUCUGAAACAUGUUGCAAGCGAAGAUAACCAUGUACAUGAGAAGUUAAAUUGCAUGGAAGAAUAGAAUUAUACAUGAUUUCCUUUAUUUAUUUGAACCAAAAUAUUUACCUUGUUCAUUUAUUUUUGUUCAUUUAUUUAUUUUCAGAUAGCUGGAUGGAAAAACAGAAGCCAAAUAUUGUCUCCUCAAACCACAGUAAGUAAGAAUUUCACUCAAGAAAAGCAAUUUGGUGUGUAGUCUAAAUUUAUCUUUCAAAUUUUUUUUUGUUUUUUUUUUUUUGUUGUAAAUUUUGCAAAAAAACAACAACAGCAUUGUAACAUCGGUAUAUAUCUUUUAAUUGCAUCAACAUCGGCUUUUGACAAAGUGAUACCGGUCAACCACUCAUUACUUUUUUCCAUUAGUAUUUCAUAGAGGACAUAUGUUUUGGGUCGUUUGACGUGAAUGUAUCGAAAUAAACAAAUCGUAAGAUCCUAUUUUGGGUGAAAGUGAUCAGUGUUUAGCCAAGAAGGUUGGAUGGACAGACAACAGACAGAGAUAGAAAAAAAAGAGAGAGAGAGAGAAGCCAACAUUUGGCUGACACCAUUGCUCUAAACACAUCAUUGAUUGGAUUGCACUGGAGGGGGUGCAUGUGUGUGUGCAGCUGGCAUGAGUGGAAAUUGUAGGUUAAUAGGAAAAGGAAAUACAUGGGUCUAUAGACGGGAGUGGGUGUGUGCGCAUUGACUGAUGUGCAUGUAUUGAUCGGUGCAGGAUUGUUAAAUAUCCUCUAAAAACUAAAUCAGUGAGAAAUUUCUGGGUCAAAUCAAAACGACAUCACAUCUUAACCAUGUAAAUUUGAAAAUAAAUCCGAGCUGCUGGUGAAAAGCUCACCGUCGGCAUAGACAAUAAGAUUAAGAGAGAAAACUGUCUGACCCAUUGUGGGAAAAGAUGAGGGAGGGAAGAACACAGAGACAGAGAUGUGUAGGCUGGAGAGGGAGUUGAAGGGGUGUAUUGUCAAAGCCAAAAGGGAUGAAACAUGAAAAGGAAGCAGGGCUUGCCUUUGGGAAAUGGAGUCAAUCGAUGCCAAAGAUGCCAAACUGUUAAGGGGCAAAUGUGGGGUGAGUGGGGGGUUGUUAUAUAACUCCAAAAUGGCAGCCCUGUUUCAGACUUAAGUUAGCAUCUUUUUAGGUGCUGAGAGAAAGCAGCACCAUUGAGUAUGUCUUUGUAAAAUGUCCACUAUCUAUUUACUGAUAAACAGAUGAUUAUUCCUAAGUGUUUGCUCAGUUCAAACCCAUUCAGGGGAGUAACAUUUAUGUGCUUGUAUAUCAGAAGAGAUCAUAAAUGCUGAAUUUAUUUCACCUUAAUAUAUAAAUCGGAAGUUAAUGUUCCCGUCAUUGCAUAAUCAAACCCUACUAUUUAUUCCACAGCUCAUUUUGGAUCCUCAGGCAUUUUUCCCUCCACAGGCUGCACUUAGGAUAAGUUAUCCCUCGGCCCCUACACACUCUUCAUUAUAUAAAGUAUAUAUUCUGUAGGCCCUGAGUUGGGGGAUAAAACGUGUGAAAAGAGAGCAGUAGGAUUUGGAGCAGCACGCAGAGAGGAGCAGCCAAAAUAGAGAGAGAGAGAAUAUCAGCAGCUCUGCCUGCCAGCCUCACUGAGCUGCUAAGCAGGGCUUAACGAUGCCCGCGGGGACGUGUAUGUGUGUAUGUGCAUGUCAGUGUGGGUGUGUGCAGACUUUUUUUUUUUAUACAUUUUCCUUCUUUAUAAGCCCAAAACAAGUGCUCAUGUUUCGGGGUCAAAUGGAGGCCAGAUAAUUAUAAAUGCAGAACUUUUUUUGAGGGUUGAAAACUUGACUACUUGGUUCAGAAUAGACACAGGUUUGAUUACAGCAGGUUAGGAAGGCUUUACUUUCACCUGUGAAGGGUCUAAUUGUAAUGUUAUCUGGUCAUGGUAAAGAUGUUAAAUAUAGAGAGAUACCAUAUGGAGGUUUUGGUAACAAAUUUAGUGUAGCGCAGGCACGCCAAACUCCUGCAAUAUAAUCAUCUAUGGCCCAGGAGGUGAUUUCAAAUGUCUAUCAUUCAUGGCCCACCAGUAAAAAGCACUCCCACCACUCAUACUACAAGUCCCACAAUGCACUGCAACAGCUGCCACAUAUGCAGGUGAAGAAUUCUGCAUCAACCCCUCCUUCUGCUGCUCUAAUGACACCUGGAUAGUUUGUCAGCGGAUGAAUACAUCGUAAGCAUACACCAUUAGACGACACAAUGAGACAUGACUUUAAUUAUGGACAUAUAUGACGCAGUGAGAGCUUUUACAGGUCGAUGCAGAAAAGGAUCUUAAGUCACCUUCCAUGUUGCCAAAAAAUCACAAACCAGGUCUUCAUUAAAGUGUUUCCAGCCACUCAUCCUGCUGAUGAACUGAGCACACUUCGCUCAAAGUUCACACACUGAUUUCCUGACUUUGAAGCCCAGAAAUGUCAUUUUGAACUGCUCAGAAAUCUAUUUGCAGCUGACAUGGAGAAAGCUCAUGUAAACAUGCGGAUGGACAUGAUAGAACUCCAACAAUUAGCUAAAUACUUCCCUGGCAAUGAUGCACCAAAAUAACUGUCAUAAAACGACUCAUUAUGCUUUUUGAAAAACCUCAAACCAGAUUCCUGACUAUAGAAAAGUUGGUUAUGGACUAAACUUAUUAGUUAUGUAAAGUUAUAAAUAGUAUAUUCAGUUGUUAAUUUUUUAUCAACUCUGGCAGAUGUUUAUAAGCAAAAAAACAGCUGCACUAGUUAAUUUAUAAUGGUGUGAAAAAUGCAUCUAAAAAAAGCAUCUACAAAAGACAGGGAGGCAAAGUUUGUUUCUCUGUUUUUAACAUUUUGAUGAAGCACCCCUGAAAAUCACAGAGGUCUUUGCAACAGAAGCCAGCUGGUCAAGCCCCAAAGCUGAUUAUUUACGGGAAUGGGGGUGCAGUGAGCAUGUGUCCGUGGGAGAGCAUGGGGGGCACAGCGCAGGGGUAGUGCUCAAUGCCUCCCCUCUAUGGUGGGCGGACCGGUCAGUUAAGAGAAUUACUGAAAAUAUCAGCUUAAGAUCAGUCCUUAACAUUUAAUCGAACACCAUUCACUCAACACUUAAGAAAUAUGUUCAUAUUGUUUGCACAUUUUGUUUUCUUCCCAUCUCAUACCAACGUUUGGUUUGUUGAAAACCCAAAAGGACUUUACGUUUAUUAGAAUAAUAAUAUAACAUAUUGUGAAACAUAUUUGGUAUGAGUGGAGGGAUAGAGUUGGAGGGUAUGUGUGUGUCCAAGUGUGUAUAUGAGUGGGUGUAGGCAUGUGUCUUACUGAGUGGCAGAGGGGUGCGUGUGUCUGUGUUCCACUGACCUCGCCUGACCUUCUCCUCUGAUUCUCUCCCCUGCUGUCAGCAGCGAGCCGACACAAGAUCACAGUUGACUGUUCAGCCCCAAGGUGCCAUCACAUCUGAUUGCACCAGAGGAUUGGGUUUGGAAAGUGAUUAAAUAUGGUGUAGUGUGCUCAGAGGAAAAGAAAGAGGGCCUGGAGAAAUAAAGAUUAAUGGCUUAAUGUUCAAUUAUAAGAGGUUACCCGUUUUCAAAACAUUUUAUUUGAUAGCACCAAGGUCUGGGAAGUCAACUUUAA